UACGUAGGGUGCGAGCGUUGUCCGGAAUUAUUGGGCGUAAAGAGCUCGUAGGCGGUGUGUCACGUCGGCCGUGAAAACCUGCAGCUUAACUGUGGGCGUGCGGUCGAUACGGGCAUCACUGGAGUUCGGCAGGGGAGACUGGAAUUCCUGGUGUAGCGGUGAAAUGCGCAGAUAUCAGGAGGAACACCGGUGGCGAAGGCGGGUCUCUGGGCCGAUACUGACGCUGAGGUGCGAAAGCGUGGGAGCAAACAGG
rnacentral:rRNA from 1 species